GACUCCGUAGCUCAGCAGGAUAGAGCGUCUGCCUCCUAAGCAGAAGGUCGCGCGUUCGAAUCGCGCCGGGGUCACCA
rnacentral:tRNA from 1 species